UGCGGCUGGAUCCCCUCCUUUCUGGAGAUCUCGAGUAGCCGCCGUCCCUCGGGCCGGCGCCGUGAAAGAGUCUCGGAAGUCGCCCGCACCUCGUCGGCCUCUCGCUCACUCCACUUGUUUUCGCUCGCUCUUUGACAAUCGAAGGACGGAUGCCGUCGCCAGGUCGUCCUGACCUAGCGGUGGUCUUGUGUGAACGGAAUCACAUCGAUCGCAAGAUUUGAGAUCAAACGCAAUAAGGCGCACGGUGGAUGCCUUGGCAUCGAGAGGCGAUGAAGGACGUGCUAAGCUGCGAUAAGCCUGGGGGAGCUGCACAGAAGCUGUUUCCCAGGAUGUCCGAAUGGGGAACCC
rnacentral:misc_RNA from 1 species